GAGACAAAAAAAAUCACUCUCCACCUCUCGCAGUCUCCCCCACGCACGCGAUCUCCUCUCGUUCCCCACACCAACGCAGCCGCCGCCGCCUCCUCUGCUCGUUUCUCAGCCUCACCGGAUUUGGGGAGCCACCGACGCGCAGGACGCGCCCCGCCGCGCCCCGCCGCGCCUCCCUUCCCACCCACGCAGCUGCGGGCGAGGGGUCCUCCAGAUCCCCAGCUGCCGAGGACCCUGUCCUCCUCGGCGUCAGCGACGGCUACAUGUCCCUCAAGGGCGUCAUCCAGGUCGAGAGGGCCGGCCAUACCGACGCCCAGUCCAAGCUCGUCUUCUACGUUAAUCCUCUCACCCCCACAGGAGAGAGAGAAGGAGGGAGGGAGGCCAGCGAGCAAGGAGAGGGAGAGAGCAGAGUUGUCUGCUUUGCUUCGUGCACCCAAUCUCCCUCUCCCCGGAGAUUCUUCUCUCUCUCAAGUCUCAACCGAUGGACUAGCUGGUGAAUUUCAUCAUCCGCCCGCCCAGAGCUGACUACAGGCCAAACGAUGAUCUACGGGAGCAGGAGUUUAUGCUCAAGGGAAGAUGGUUUCAGAGGAAGGACCUGGAGGUUCAAUUUUAAACAAUGCAAGUAGGAUGCAAGGGACAAACAGGAAUUGUGCUAGGCUGAUGCGCCGGAGAGACAGAACAGGAGGCCGACCAGUCCGUGGUGUCGCCGUUGUCGUCCUUGUCCCUCAUGCGCGGCAAUGGAGAGAGACGAUCCGUCUGGAGAUCGAGUAUAGGAGCCGUCUACCUCUGUUACUGAUAAAAACUGGCCAGAGGGGAUCUGCUUUACCCCCUGAUCCUCUCCGCGAUUGGGAGGUUGAGCCAUGGCCUACCCGUGCUUGAUACCGAGAUGUUCAAGAUGGCCGACCCGUUCAUUGCUGGUUGGUUUCUUAGUGCCUACCUCCUUGCGGGAUUUGGCGAUGAUGCCAAAGGAAGCAAUGGGCUGUUGGGAUACCGGCUGGGGGAUUAUUCAGUGUAUGUGGGCCUUGGCAGAGCACAGUCACUUAACCCUGCUCCUAUCCCACUGUAGAAGUUGUCUGUUGUGGAGAUGACUGGGUUCCAUGGCUAACAUAACACAUUUUACCUGUUAGGUACUCCAUCUGGUUGGAUAGCAAAUUGCGUUUUAAUGUUGAUUCAAUGCUUAUCAUUAAGUAUUUCUUAUGGAGAAAGAAAGCAGAGUAUGCCAUUUCAGCGCACUACGAUUGCACAUGUGUCUGGGAGGAAGUUCUUCAGAACAAGCGCUUAAACAAAUGUGCCCGAUGGUUCUUUCAUCGUGUGUGCCCUUACACCAAUGUCUAAUUUAUUUUCAUGCCUUUGGUUCAAUGAGGUCAACUGUUUCACCUCCCGUGAUCAAUUGAGUUUUACAUACACUUGCUUGAAGCUCACGAGAAUGAACGCUUGAAGAUAUUUCACCUAAAUAUGUUUAAGAUCCACCCCCGACAAACCUUCGUACGGAUAAAAAAUCGUUCAUUGAUGCCAAUCUUAGACUGCCAUUGAGGAAUUGAGGGCGGGAUACUAUUCAUUUUGAUGCAUGUAUCAUGCAUUCAGUCUGGUGGGGGUGGAGCAGUGAGGCUGGAGACCCAGGCAGGGGACGCCUCAGGGCUUGGAGGAGAGGUCGACGAUACGGACAAGGAGCAGUAGCCUCAUGGAUCUGCAGUGAAGCGUCAUCGAGGGAUGGCUGAUGUCAAGGCACACAUAGCUCCGGCUGCCGCGGAUAGGAAGUACUCGACGCAUGAUAUCCUCCUGACUCUGACUGAACCCUGUUUCGUGCAAACAUGCUCUGUAUUUUUUUGGUAGGAACAUUUAACUCUAAAGACAUAACUAUUCAGACUGCAAGAUUUUUGCUUUGGGUUUCAGAAGAACUGUAUAGACAUGCUUGUUGUAGUAUCUGUGUUAUGUACUCAGUGUCAAAUACAAAGUUCAAAUAUCAUUUGAUACAAGGAACAGGCAUCCGAACUUUAUAAAAGUAGAUAUAGCAAACAUUAGGCUUGAUUGCAUUAAUAAUUUAUAUAGUUGCAGAUGUACUUACUUCUGGUACUAAUCAUUUGAUGCUUUUCUUUUUAUUUCCACCAUUACAAGAUUAAGCUUGACAGUGAAAUCUUGGAUAGUAUGUAACACCUUUUCUGCAUAUUUAGAAUAUGUAUGCAAACUCACACUGGUUUAAUUUUGCUUUGGUUUUACUAACCAAAUUAGUUUUAAUAAUCCAGUUCCAUUUUUGUCUUCCCUGCUAAUUUGCGGCUUUCUGUGCCAGAUACAUCAUAGUUAAUAAAAAAACUUCUGCUGUAAUGGAGGUACUCAUCUUUAGUAGUGUGCUUAAUUUGAUUCAUCACCUCAAGUGUUUUACACAAAAUUUGAACUAUGUGUAUCUACUGGUGAGUCCUUGGGCCUCGCUCUAUUUCAGUUUUCAAGAUGGAAGAAUGUCUUAAAGUUUCAACUACUAUUUACUAAUUGUAGGCUCCUUAGAAGAUUCCACCUAAUCUUUAGAAACAGAAAAUUAUAAGUAUAUUGUCCGCUAGAUGCAAGCAUGAGUAGCUCAAAACUGAAACGCUGCCAUCUCGGACCUCCUCCAUGGUUUGCCAGGCUACCAAGAUCAAUAAUGUAGCGACAUGAGGAGGGAAUUUGAUCAAGACAUAAGUAGGUAAAUACCCCUAGCUAUUUUCUUUAUAUAUUUUGCCCUUCUCUCACUGUAUUCUAUUUUGCCUUUUAGUGAUUGUAAAAUUAAAGUCUUCAAUAAACAUACAUUUACUUAUGCUUCAGAGGAUAAGCCUUCUGUAAAUACACCCACCCACGCCUAAGAUUUUAGCAAAUAAAUCUUGGCUCAAUAACUUUUGUUUUUAAUGGAAGGAACAAUUUCUUCAGUGACUAACUACAUCUUUUUCUUUGCUAGGCUGUAGACAAGAUAGGUGAUAUUAAAUGUUUCCUCACAAAUAACCUCUCUAAUUGACGAGAAUAACUGGGUAUGUAACAAUGUUAACAUUGGUAGUUUAUCGGCACAGUACUAAUGUUGCCUUAAUGCACAAUAAACUCAAAUAUCGUCCUCUCAGUAUAUGCCUCUACAAAAGGGUGCUUAAUGAAUUCAAUGGUUUGCCUCAUUUGUACAGAAAUUUGGACCAUUCUAGCUCAUUGAGAUAGUUUCUAAUUUAGUUUGUUGAUUAUAUUUUAUUACUACAGUUUUACUGGGCUGUGUCCUCAUGGAUUUCAAGUUUCGCUGGAGAUAUGUCAUCUGCCAAUGUUAGAAGAAUAGGUGCUUCCAUAGAAAAAGGUCUUUGUCUCGAUUCCUUCCCUUUGAAGGAAACUCCAAAUCGAGUCGUCGCGCCAUGCCUAGGCUUGCUAAAAGCUAACUCAUGUCUUAGAGAUUUUUAGUAGCGAAUUUAAGUGCAUGGUUACUGAUGUGGCUAUGGAAUGCACGGGUUGUACAGCAACUAAGUUUGUAGAGUGAAUUCACGUGCUCAUAAAGGAAGUGGUGAAACCCAAUAAACAAUAUCAUAUGGAUGCAUCUUAAGAGGUGCACAAUUGGCAUAUAUUUCGAUUGUGCUCCUUCAGGCCAUCUUUGAUGCUCAGAUUGUGCUUUCAUUGACAUUCACAUAUUCUUGUUGUUAUUGUGUAUGUGCAGCUACUGAUAUAGGUCUCUUAUAUGAAUGUUAGAUGUCAUUUCUAAAUUCAUGUUGUAACUAUUUCUGCCUUGCUAAGCUGAGAUCAGGGACUGCUGGUCAUUUCUGAAGAUCAGGACACAACCAGCCUCAUUUCUAAAGAUCAGGACCCAACCAGCCAUCCUAAUCUGAGUGUCGGAUAUUUGGAAGUUUGAAGAAGCCUAACAUGCAUAACAUUAGGAGCCCCCCUCUCCCAGUCGAGAUCAGGCAAGGCAGAUGGGAAGCAGCGGCGCCCCCUCUCCCUCGAGCUCUAGAUCCAUGGCACCAGCAUCGAGGUCAUAUCUCAGAAUACAUCAUGUCAAGAACUGGUAGCCAAAGAUCUCCAUGGAACUGAGUGACAUUUCUUGGUGACUUUACAAUAUUCAGCUUGAAGCCCUUAAAUUUCCAGUAGUUGUGUCCUUAUUGUUUUGGUGUAGCACUUCAUGUAACAAUUGAAUGCUGAAUUCAUUACUUAUGAGUAUGUGUGGCCUCUCUCCCUCUGUCUGAUUCUAUAUCAUGCCUUUCAGUGUUUUGUGUUUUAGAUUCCA